GCAAAAUAUUUCUGUGUGCAUCUCAGGCAGAAAGCCUUAGGGGGAAUGCAGUCUCCAAAGAAAGCAUGGGCUAGGGUUUCUAUUUUGUCAUGCAUGUUAUCAAUAGAUAGGUCAGUCAUCCUUACACCCUCUAGUUUAGUUUAGAUCUCCUUCUAAGAACCUUUAAGGUAGUAAUUCAGGGAGAAAACCAAUCCUCCUUCUCUGAGGAGAACUGGAGCCAGGUGGGGCUAUUUGUGAGGCAAUGGAACACAGGUGCUGGUCAGCUGCUGAUUACUCAAUAGAUGUAGGACCUGAUUUUAUUUUGAUUUAAGCCUUGAUUAUGGAGGUCCUUAAAGAGAAGGUAACGACAGGCUUCUUACAAUGUUUGUGGUCAAGUCAUGUGCCUACAAAAUCUACAUUGGAGUGAAUUCUGUGGCUGGAUGCUGUUUUUUUCCCCUGCUGUGUUCUUACUGCCUUGUACAACAGCAUGAGAUGAAGUGCCCAUAGUCUCAACUGUGAAACCUGGAGAUCUGAACUCCCAGGCAGAUAAAAGGAGGUAUGAUCUGCAUUCAAGCAAGUCUACUUCCAGCUUCUCACAGCCUCUUCUGGGGAUGAACUGGGAAGUCUGGAUGCACAAAGCAGAGCACAUUUGUCAUGGAUGGAAACAACUAUGCUAUACACUUCUCUUGUGUGUUAAGAGACAAACCUGCAUCAGACAUCUCUGCCAAUGAGCACAAUGAAGAGGAGUGUCCUGCCUGCGGCUGUCCUGAAUUCUGCACUAUGCAAAAAUGUGACCAGUGCGGUUUGAGCCUGAGUGCACAGAGUGAAGCAGUCCUGGGAGACCACUGAGAUAAUGAUCUGCCAAGUCUAAACCUCCUUGUUUCCCAUGCUCACCUUGAAGGGCUGAAAUAUCCUUGCUCAAAAUAUUGGCAUAGUUUAUGUUUUAGAAGACGUGCUAAUGGACUUGAUUUGAAAGGUACAUAUAACUAUCUACAUCUAGAUAGAUAGAUACACAACAUAAAUAUUGUAUAGAUACAUAUGUUUCUUUAAUUGCUUGUUGUAGAUUGAAUCAGAAGCAUAAACACUUCCUUGAAGUAGGACAAUGAUGUAGAGCAGAGGCAAAAACCCAGGGGCUGCAGGAAAGGUCCGUCACAGAAAAUAAAAAGGAAAAGUAACAAGAAAUCAGAGCAGAUAUUUGGAGAGAAGCACUCAAUCACACCAUGGUGUUCAGUGUCAACCCAAUGCUGGACUAAAAUUACUAAAUGUACAGGAGUGCAAAGAGCCAGCUAGCAAUUUGUUUUGGUAAUUCUGCUGCAAAGCAUCUGACUUCAGAGAACAGAGUAGGGAAGCCUUGAAUUACUGUUUGCCUGCUCAGGAGAAUGUGCAGACCAUGAACUGCUGCCUGGAGUGAAGUAAAGCUUGAUUGAAUGCACGGACCUGCCUGCUGCCUUUUGAGAUGAAGUUCUGCCUUCUGUCUCUCCCUGCAUAUCAAACUUACUUUAUGUGAAGAAACAAUCUUUCUCUCUUAAAACUAGGAAUAAUUCAGGUCUAAAGUGUGAGAUGUCGGACUUCUUGUUUUACAAACAGUGGGUAACAUUCAUUAUGUAAUAUUUACUGAUUAUUAUUAAUCACUGUAGCUAAUAUCUGCAGAUCUCAUUCAUUGUGUAUUAAAUUUAUAGCACAGCUGCUCAGUUCAAUAAGGAACAGAUUAUGAAUUAAAAAUCAAUAAUGGCAUUAUAAGCAUUCGUUUUGGGGGUUCUUUUUCUAAUUAUCUGCAAUCUGUCAUCCAGACAGUCUAUGAUAACUCAUCUUAGAACAAAAGCAGUGUAUCUGCUGCUCAGCGUAGGAGGCAAGCUGACCCUCCCUCUUCAUUUUAAUGUGUUAUGACUUAUGUACUCCUGCUUCUUUUCCACUGAAGUGAAGAGAGGGGGAAUCUCAUGAGAUCUGUAGACCUGGUUUUACCUUGGGUAUGAAAAUAGCUCUUUCAGAGACGCUCUACCUGAAAAUAGGCUGAAAUAGAAUGUCCCUAAUGCUUAGUUCAGCUGUUUGCCAAGGAGAAGGGAAAUGAGCACUGCAUUGUUUCCAGUUUUUCUACUGAUUCUGUUUCUGUCUGACUCUUUUCUGCUUAUAUGCACCCACAAAAUGGGUGCACUACUACCUGCAAGGAACGGAGCAAUUUAAUUACGGAUUUGAGAAACACUGAUGUUCUGCUCAGUUCAUCAUGUGGAGUGACCAUCUCUGGGGAUUAAAGAUUAAAAAAAGCAAGGGCUAAAGAUUUUUGAUUAUUUUCUUUAAAUGGUGGUCCUCUUACCUCCAGGGACAUAGUUUGGAGAUAUCAGAGUACUCUGAAGAGUAAAGGGGAACAGCAGAUGAAAAUCGUUUUUUCAAAAUAAAUUUGCAGAUAAAGCAGGAAUGCCACAGAGAGGAUGGGAAGGGAGAGAGUGUCAAGAAUAAUUUGUCACUGCACAUUGUGCCCUUGGAUGUUAGACACAGGCCAAUCACUAACCUCUUGGUUGGUAAUGGAAGAAUCCAACUAUUUUCCCAAGCUUUUUCUUAGGGAACAGACUGAAUGAUGGUGACUGGGUUCAAAAGGUGGGAUUCUUUUCUGGGAAGGGUGAGGGUCAGGGUUCUGGGAAGGUUUUAUAUUGUGACCAUUGGAUUAGCUGGAAUUUUGCCUGUGAUUUUAAAUGAUCUGUAUAUUUUCCCUAGAUUUUUGGAGAGACACAUUUUAAAAUCU